rnacentral:rRNA from 1 species
AGUGGCGAAAGGGGCAAUAAGGCGUGGGUAACCUACCUCGGGGACUGGGAUAGCCUUCCUAACGGAUGGGUAAUACCAGGCGAUUUGACGGCUGGGCAUCUAGCUGUCAGGAAAUGAAUUUCGCCUCGGGAGGGGCUCACGUGCUAUUAGCUUGUUGGCGGGGUAACGGCCCACCAAGGCAAAGAUGGCUAGCGGGUGUGAGAGCACGACCCGCGCCACUGGCACUGAGACACUGGCCAGACACCUACGGGUGGCUGCAGUCGAGGAUCUUCGGCAAUGGGCGCAAGCCUGACCGAGCGACGCCGCGUGCGCGAUGAAGGCCUUCGGGUUGUAAAGCGCUGUCGAGGGGGAGGAAAGCCGCAAGGUCUGACCUAUCCCUGGAGGAAGGACGGGCUAAGUUCGUGCCAGCAGCCGCGGUAAGACGAACCGUCCAAACGUUGUUCGGAAUCACUGGGCUUAAAGGGCGCGUAGGAGGGCCAGAGGGUCCGGGGUGAAAUCUUUCGGCUUAACCGGAAAAGUGCCUCGGA